rnacentral:lncRNA from 1 species
GAGGAGCAGCCACAUGAGAACCUGGUUUUGGAUGUUGUCUUAUUUCUGUGGGAUAAAGUGAGGUCGGUGAUGCAGAGGGAUCAGGUGCGAAACCUCGAGAAUUCACACUACCUCAAGAGAGUAGCUGAUUAUGAUAAGUGGCUGUGGUGUCUGUCUGUGCUGUGUGAGGUAGCAAUUGCCUGUGAUCUGGCAACUGUUGACUGCAUAAUGACAGCAGAGAUGAUCCACACAUUGGCCAUACUGUUAGAGAGUGCAGCUGAACACAGAGAUCAAACACAAUGCCCAGGUGUGGAAUUAAGUUUGACCAUUUGCCCUAUUUCAGUCUGUUGAACAGCUGAUAUGAUUGAUCUUUUGUACUUGAUUUGGUGUUAUAGAAUAUCACUACGGUGUUUUAAGGUAUAGUGAAGUCUCAUAUCAAUUUUCCAAACUGUAGGUGUGGUAACAUUACUCUCUUGUUUCAUGUCUAGCGGCUUGUGAAGCUCAUGGUGAUGGUGUGAAACCAAGCUAUUUUUCUCUUCUUGAGCGUUCAAGUACAGAGCUGCUUCAGAAGGUGUGUGAAAUGGCGGUUUGGGGUGUUGAAGCGCUGGUGAAAGGUGUAGCUACACAGAUGCCCCAAGAUAGCUCAGCAGUCGUUGACUUCGCAUUCAUGCAGGUAGGCAGUUUAACUUUCCAACACGCAGCACUGUAAAAGAUGCUGGUCAGAUUUCAGUUGGGCAUUUAUUAAUUGAACAACCUUCUAAGACAGGUGUUGCACUGAGUUAGAAUCUCAACUCUAUUUUUAGGAUGAACGAUGAGUGUUUAAGCGUUACUAAAACCUGUUUUGCUCUUGUUUUGAUAGAAGUUUAGUCCCCUUGAUGCAUCGGCUCCCUCCCUAUCUUCUCCAACAUCACCAGAAGAGGAAAAUGAAGAAGAUGAAUUGACUAAGAUGGAAAAAGAACCUGACACAAACACAGAAUCAGAUAUUAAAGGUUCUCAAAGUACACAGUCCACAUGUUUGCUGGCCAUAGACCUUCAUCUCGAGCUAAACAUUAUCCACCACAGGGCUUCCCUCAAGUUACUGCAGCGGAAUGCAGUUGUGGAGUCUAAACUGUUGGAUCGGAUCAAGAAGAACAAAGUGUCUAAAGCUCUUUUCCUGAUCCAGAAAGCCUUGCUGGUUUUCAGCAGCACAGAGCCAAAUACCAGCAACAACAAAACCAGUCUGAGGAGUCUGCUAGAGGAGGCCUCCACCCUUAUAGAGAAAGCAGGUGUGGAGGAGAGAAAGCUGUUUAUCUCCACCAUCACUGAGACUCCAGCUGAAAAUAAGGACAAUGAGAUGAGGGGGGAAAAAGAAAACCCUCCACCUGCUCCCAUCCUACUCUCAAGAACUGACCACUCCUUAACCUUUGUCCCAGCACCUUAUAACUUGGGGCGACAAGUGAGAUUUGCUUUUAAUUGUGUUCUUAAUUUACUAAUCUGA